AACGAACGCUGGCGGCGUGCCUAACACAUGCAAGUCGAACGCGAAAGGGGGCAACCCUGAGUAAAGUGGCGCACGGGUGAGUAAUAUAUAGGAACGUACCUACUGGUGGGGAACAACCGCGGGAAACCGCGGCUAAUACCGCAUACGAUCGCAAGAUGAAAGAGGGCCUCUACUUGUAAGCGCUCGCCGGUAGAUCGGCUUAUAUCCCAUUAGCUAGUUGGUGAGGUAAAGGCUCACCAAGGCAACGAUGGGUAGCUGGUCUGAGAGGAUGGCCAGCCACACUGGAACUGAGACACGGUCCAGACUCCUACGGGAGGCAGCAGUGGGGAAUAUUGCACAAUGGGCGCAAGCCUGAUGCAGCAACGCCGCGUGGGUGAUGAAGGUUCUUGGAUUGUAAAGCCCUUUCGGCUAGGAAGAAGGGCUCUGUAGUUAAUACCUGCAGAGUUUGACGGUACUAGAAGAAGAAGCACCGGCUAACUCCGUGCCAGCCGCCGCUGUAA
rnacentral:rRNA from 1 species